rnacentral:rRNA from 8 species
CCGUAGGUGAACCUGCGGAAGGAUCAUUAC